GGCAUCCUUCCCGUCUCCCCUGGCGCCCAUCUUGCGUAACAAAGCUUUUUAUCCGGGCAUAGAAGCGCAAAAUUUUUGAAAUUUAGAAAGAGCGGGCCUACAGAGGCUCCACCAUUUAUAUCGAGGCACCGAAAUGGUUCCAUUUGAUGAGCUUAGACAGGGUAGACAUCUGACACCGACAGAUUUUUUCCGCUAUAUACAGAUUAGAGACUUUGCAGCCCAACC